AUUGAACGCUGGCGGCAUGCCUUACACAUGCAAGUCGAACGGUAACGGGCCUUCGGGUGCCGACGAGUGGCGAACGGGUGAGUAAUGUAUCGGAACGUACCUUUCAGUGGGGGAUAACGUAGCGAAAGUUACGCUAAUACCGCAUAUUCUGUGAGCAGGAAAGCAGGGGAUCGCAAGACCUUGCGCUGAUUGAGCGGCCGAUAUCAGAUUAGCUAGUUGGUGAGGUAAAGGCUCACCAAGGCGGCGAUCUGUAGCGGGUCUGAGAGGAUGAUCCGCCACACUGGAACUGAGACGCGGUGCAGCCUCCUACGGGAGGCAGCAGUGGGGAAUUUUGGACAAUGGGGGCAACCCUGAUCCAGCCAUGCCGCGUGAGUGAAGAAGGCCUUCGGGUUGUGAAGCUCUUUCGGCCGGGAAGAAAUCGUAUCAGCUAAUACCUGGUGCGGAUGACGGUACCGGCAUAAGAAGCACCGGCUAACUACGUGCCAGCAGCCGCAGUAAAAC
rnacentral:rRNA from 1 species